UACGUAGGGGGCUAACGUUGUCCGGAAUCAUUGGGCGUAAAGAGCGUGUAGGCGGCCCGGUAAGUCCGCUGUGAAAGUCGGGGGCUCAACCCUCGAAUGCCGGUGGAUACUGUCGGGCUAGAGUGCGGAAGAGGCGAGUGGAAUUCCUGGUGUAGCGGUGAAAUGCGCAGAUAUCAGGAGGAACACCAAUUGCGAAGGCAGCUCGCUGGGACGUGACUGACGCUGAGAACGCGAAAGCGUGGGGGAGCAAACAGG
rnacentral:rRNA from 1 species